UCUUAUGCAUGAGCAAAGAAAGUGGUUUUGUGAGAUGGAAUCUACUCCUGGUGAAGAUUCUACGAA
rnacentral:pre_miRNA from 2 species